CAGAAUAUAGCUAAACUAUAGCCAUUCCCUUACACUGAAAAGUUGGCUGCGCAACCCAGCCUAUUCUGA
rnacentral:tRNA from 1 species